rnacentral:rRNA from 1 species
CGGUAAUUCCAGCUCCAAUAGCGCAUACUAAAGUUGUUGCAGUUAAAAAGCUCGUAGUUGGAUUUCUGCGGGGACGGAGCGGCCGGACGCAACUUGCGUCUCGAGCUAGCGCUUUCCCCACAUCCUGCCGCGAACCGUGCUACCAUUAGCUUGGUGGCGCUGGGGAUCGGCUCGAUUACUUUGAGAAAAAUAGAGUGUUCAAAGCAGGCCACACGCCUUGAAUAAGUUAGCAUGGAAUAAUGACUAAGGACUUCGGUUCUAUUUUGUUGGUGUUCGGGACUGAAGUAAUGAUUGAUAGGGACAGUUGGGGCGGUCUGUAUUCCAAAGCGAGAGGUGAAAUUCUUAGACCUUCGGAAGACGAACAGCUGCGAAAGCGUUCCGCAAGGAUGUUCCCUUUGAUCAAGAACGAAAGUUGGGGGAUCGAAGACGAUCAGAUACCGUCGUAGCCUCAACUAUAAACUAUACCAGCUAGGGAUCGGCCAACGUUUAACUUUAUCGACUUGGUCGGCACCUUAUGAGAAAUCAAAGCAUCUGGGUUCCGGGGGGAGUAUGGUCGCAAGGCUGAAACUUAAAGGAAUUGACGGAAGGGCACCACCAGGCGUGGAGCCUGUGGCUUAAUUUGACUCAACACGGGAAAACUUACCAGGUCCAGACAUAGGAAGGAUUGACAGAUUGAUAGCUCUUUCUUGAUUCUGUGGGUGGUGGUGCAUGGCCGUUUUUAGUCGGUGAAGUGAUUUGUCUGCUUAAUUGCGUUAACGGACGAGACCCCAGCCUGCUAAAUAGCGCGGCCGAGCUUUGCUCGGUGCGAGCUUCUUAGAGGGACCAUGAUGCGCGAUAGCACAAGGAAGUUUGGGGCAACAACAGGUCUGUGAUGCCCUUAGAUGUUCUGGGCCGCACACGGGCUACACUGGCGCCUGCAACGAGCAUAUCAGCUGGCCCGAGAGGGUCUUGGCUAAUCUUUGGAACCGGCGCCGUGCUUGGGAUUGACCAUUGCAAUUGUUGGUCAUGCAACGAGGAAUGCCUUGUAAACGCGAGUCAUCAGCUCGCAUUGAAUACGUCCCUGCCCUUUGUACACACCGCCCGUCGCUCCUACCGAUGAAUGUUCCGAUGAAAUUUUCGGAGAGCGCCAGAGAACGGGGCUCUGCCUUGCAGAUCUGGAGGCUCAAAGUCACUUAAAUCUGAACAUUUCGAGGAAGGAGAAGUCGUAACAAGGUAGCCG